rnacentral:misc_RNA from 1 species
UCGAGUUCCUGCCCUUCGGGUAGAUCUCCCACCCGUGCGUACCUCUAUCGCUCGUUGCUUUGGCGGGCCGCUUCGGCUACCGGCGCUCGCUGGUGAGUGCCCGCCAGAGGCUCCAAACUCUGAACAUUAGUGUCGUCUGAGUCCUAGAUAAUCGUGA